AUUGAACGCUGGCGGCAUGCUUUACACAUGCAAGUCGAACGGCAGCACGGGUGCUUGCACCUGGUGGCGAGUGGCGGACGGGUGAGUAAUACAUCGGAACGUAUCCAGAAGAGGGGGAUAACGCAUCGAAAGAUGUGCUAAUACCGCAUAUUCUCUGAGGAGGAAAGCAGGGGAUCGAAAGACCUUGCGCUUUGGGAGCGGCCGAUGUCUGAUUAGCUAGUUGGUGGGGUAAAGGCCUACCGAGGCGACGAUCAGUAGUUGGUCUGAGAGGACGACCAGCCACACUGGGACUGAGACACGGCCCAGACUCCUACGGGAGGCAGCAGUGGGGAAUUUUGGACAAUGGGCGCAAGCCUGAUCCAGCAAUGCCGCGUGAGUGAAGAAGGCCUUCGGUGUAAGACUCUUUCAGUCGAGAAGAAAAAGACUGCAGUGAAUAACUAGUAGUUCAUGACGGUAUCGACAGAAGAAGACA
rnacentral:rRNA from 1 species